rnacentral:rRNA from 1 species
UACGUAGGAGGCGAGCGUUGUCCGGAGUUACUGGGCGUAAAGGGUGCGCAGGCGGCCCGACAGGUGUGUGGUGAAAUCUCCCGGCUUACCUGGGAGGGGGCCACGCAAACCGUUGGGCUUGAGGCUCGGGGAGGGGCGUGGAAUUCCGGGUGUAGCGGUGGAAUGCGUAGAGAUCCGGAAGAACACCGGUGGCGAAGGCGGUCUGCUGGGCAGUAGCUGACACUGAGGCGCGACAGCGUGGGGAGCAAACAGG